GAAGCGUAGCAGUAUCCUGAGUAACGCGGGACACGUGAAAUCCUGCGCGAAUCAGCCGGGACCAUCCGGCAAGGCUAAAUACUCCCGAGAGACCGAUAGUGAACCAGUACCGUGAGGGAAAGGUGAAAAGCACUCCGAACAGGAGGUUGAAAUAGUCCCUGAAACCGUACGCCUACAAGCGGUCGGAGCAGCAUCAAGCUGU
rnacentral:rRNA from 1 species